ACAUACGACCAUAGGAAACUUGGACCACUGAAACCCGUCAGAUCUUCUUUAGUUAAACAGCUUACCGGCGGGUUAGUAGUUAGGUGGGUGACCACUAGCGAAUCUCCGCUGUCGUAUGUU
rnacentral:rRNA from 1 species